CCAGAAGUUUGUCUUCCAUUUUUGGUAGACUACCAAAAAUACACUGAGAAUUUGUAUAAUCAUCUUAGUGGAAGAAACUUCAAGUAAUGAUCAAAACUUCAGACUGAGGAACCAGGAUACCAUACUUCGAACAGAUGGUUGAUCAUUCCCCCUGCUGGAAUGCUUGCCAGUGUGAAGAAUCCAUCUCCACUCUGUAAGAAAUGAAAUGAUGCUGCAGUGAAGUCAUAGAUUAAACUGCUUCUCCAACUUCCUCAAGCUGUGGAACUACCAUCCAACUACCAUCCUUCCUUACCUCAGCUGAGAUGAAUGGACAGAAAAGAAACAUUUCUUACCAACCCUACUGAAAGAAGGGGGAAGGCACAGAGGCUGGCUCCAGGUCAAAGUUCCAAUUUCCACAAGAGAAGGAGGGAGGGCAGGAGCAGUGAAUA